rnacentral:rRNA from 1 species
UACGGGGGGAGCAAGCGUUGUUCGGAAUUACUGGGCGUAAAGGGCUCGUAGGCGGCCAACUAAGUCAGACGUGAAAUCCCUCGGCUUAACCGGGGAACUGCGUCUGAUACUGGAUGGCUUGAGGUUGGGAGAGGGAUGCGGAAUUCCAGGUGUAGCGGUGAAAUGCGUAGAUAUCAGGAGGAACACCGGUGGCGAAGGCGGAUCUCUGGGCCGUAACUGACGCUGAGGAGCGAAAGCAUGGGGAGCGAACAGG